GAGCUGCUUCCUGUUAGCCGACUGCAUCCAUGAGAGGGAGGAGCUAGAGAUAUACCGGAAGUGUGACGUCUCAAACUCUGAUUGGCUGAGUCUCUCUUCCCUAAGCAUACACACCUUGUUUUUGACCGCUGUAUGGGCCGGACACAGGAAGGAUCUGUCCGAGGUCAGGAGAUGCAGCAGGAAGUCCUGGAGGACCAGGUGGCCCAGGUUGUCCUGGUUGCCCUUGAAGUCCAGCAGGGCCACUAAGACCAGGGUUACCUUGAGGACCAAUAUGACCAGGUUGUCCUGGCUUUCCCUCCCCAGGAUAUCCAGAUUUACCAGGUCCUCGCUCCCUCUGGUCUGCUCCUCCUCCGCCUGGUUUCUCCUCUACCUUACGCUGCCUCUCUGGGUCGUUUCCAGGGCAUGAGUGGGACGGUGGCCAUGCACAGGAUUCAGCCAGGUGUUAGCUGCAGUCCUGCUGGGCCCUGAGUGAGUUUGAAUGACUAAAAGUGACGAUGUAUGGAUCCAGCACCAUGGACAGAGCCUCCAGACUGUCACUGACCUCUGAUCUGUCUCCCUGCUCAUCACAGAAGCUUCAUAGACUUCUCAUCUCUGUCGUAAACUGGACUCUGAUGAGGACUCUUCAGACGCCUCCUCCGCCUUCGUUUGAUGACAGAGACUCUCCAGCCCCCCUCUGAAUCGAUGCUGGUUCCUCUGAAACUGUUUGCCAAAAUGUACAGCCAUGCUGGCCCCGCUUGGUCCGGAGCCACGAGCCUUUUAUCACCUCCAUCUUGAAAAUAAUCAAAUUUCCAUCUCUCCUCAGUGUUCCUCUCCUGACUGGUUCCAGAUGGGGACUCUACCGCUCCAUCAACAAACCAUGGGGAACAGAGGCAUGUCAUUGCUUACAGAUCCGGGUGCCCGUCUUAAUUGCUUGUGGUUACAGCUCCGGCCUACGCUGUCCUGAGUGCUUCAUACCUGUGGGUCGGUGUGCUCACGCUCAAGUCUGUCUUUCAGGUGAUCUACCCCGGCUCAAUCCUCAAGCAGCGUUUACUGUUCUUCCCCAGAGUUCAAUUAUCCUGACGGGAGGGAGAGCACACCGCAUGUUUCCUGUAGAAACCCGAAAAUGGAACAAAAAGUGCACGUUUGCUCCACCUCAUCCGGUUCCUUCAACAUUCCUUCACACCUACUCGAUCUCUUUGCAGAGCGAGGGCCGGAGUCGCCUCCUGAGAUGUCUUCAGCCUCACACUGAUCCUGCGGGGGAUUGAGACGCUUGUUUUAAGAGCUCUGCACGGUAGCAGCAGAAAUGCUGCUGCAGGGACACAUGGCCUGGCAUCACAGCGUCUGCAGCUGCAGGAUCAAGACACACAUUCCCUCUGAGCUGCAUAAACACUUCCUGUUCAGUAGGAUAAAACAACACUGCAGAGAGUCUGACAGCUUCACCCUGGACAUGUCUCACUGUGGGAGAAAUCCAUGUCAGGUGUGAAGCAGGGGUGUUUCCUGGCUGAAAGUCUCACACAGCUUUGAGGAGUUCGGGACGGACGCUGAACAGCAGCCCUGGUGAGGGUUUGGCUUUUAUCUGCAGACCUCUUCUGACAACGGCAGCAUUGAUGUGUUCCCUACAUUUCCCACAAUGCAGCAUGGCUCACCCCCUUAACGUGGUGGAGGGGUGUGAGAGCCAGGAUGAUCCUUGGAGGGGUUGGACCCUCUUCCUUGCUGGAGUUGCGCCAGAUGAGAGGCGGAGGACAGAUGUGGGCUUCCUCGUAGCUCCUCACCUCUCUGCCUGUGUGUUGGAGACGGGUCCUGACUGUUGUUUGUGCUUCAUUAAGAGAACCCACACAGUGUAUACACCAAUCUCAUAACCUCUCUGUCAAUAGAGCUUUUGUUCACAAGAGCUGAGAAAUCACAUGAUGAAAAAUGUAAAAUAUGAUCCUCAAACAUUUGUUUUUUCAGUUUCUCUGCAGUCUGUCAGUCGUCAAAUACACCCUCGACUCCCACACACGGCCUGGCUGCAGCCUGACACACACGCACACACACACACCUGAACACACCUGCCUGCCAAAAAAACCUUUAUAAGUAAUUGUCACUGGGUGAGACGGUAAGUAGAUUUAAAGGAGUGUGAAAACACGCCAUUCUUCAUGUAACUGACUCAGUUUAAUCCUCUCUCUGGAUGUGAUGUUCUCAAUUCUGAUCUCCUUCAAGUUCCACUCAUGAAGUCAUGACAGCAGUGUUUAAUCCAUGAAGAAUGCAGGUUACAGUUACAUAGUGAGUCAUAGCUCAGGAUUCUGGGUUGGCUUAUCAGAUUUCAAAGGAGGGGGCAGUGCCACCCCUGGCCGCCCCUCUGGACACCCCCUUGUAAUCCACUGUCCUCUGAGAGUCUGAGUGUUCAGAUACAUCUCUGAAACUCUUUCCAUGGCACAUGCACAGAUUUAAACUACUCCCCCCCUCUCUGCCGCCGCCUCUGAGAACACUUCAUCGUCCUUGGACGUGAAGGUCACCUCUGUCUGUCAGGAUUACUGCACAUAUACGAGAGAACACCGCAGCUUUGGGAGAGCCUCCCUCUCCAAUGUUUUAUUUAUUUGGCUGCAGGUUCGAGCCAAACGCUUCGGUUAGCAUUUCAUUCCUCCGCUGCCCUUGGAACGGGCGCCAGAUUUGUGGGGACGACUGGAAAACCCCCGGUGUUUGAUGGUGGGAAGCAAAUUAAUCAAUAUAAGGUGCUUGCUCACAGCUUUAAAAAGCCGCUGAGUCAUUGUCUGUUCAUCUGGGGGUGCAGUCUGGCCAAAGUCUGGGCCCACAUAGUGAACAUAGAAGAUAAAGAUGGAGGACUUGUGGGAUCUAUUACUCGUUCAGGUUCAGACAGACAUGUUAGGGGCCCUCGUUGAUUUUUAAUGGGAGUGAUGUCUCGCUCUAUGUGUCCACUGAUUGGCUGCACACAUGCUGCGACCUCACGGAGCAGACUGGAGGUCUCUCUGAAGUAUGUUCAAGCAGAAGAUGAUUCACCAUAGUCGCACUGCAGCCAGCUUUGACAUCAGACUGGGAGGUUCAGAGGUUGUUGUUUUGUCGUUAUAGCUUCCACAGUAUUACUCUUUGCUUAGACGAGCAUGUUUCAGUGUCUAUAGCCGGCUCAGGGAACAGAGACGUGAAGUGGUAACCUGCAGAUAGCAGAUAAAGUCUGAAACGACACACAGUCAGUCUACAUGCUGUGAAACACACUCAGCUGAAUGACUUUAUUUUUUGAGUGCUGCUGUAAACAGAUUCCAUGUAACUGAGACUCUCAGACAAUUUGUGACUGUUUGGAUUUGGCGUCAGUAAACUUGGACAAACCUCCAUCGUCGGUUCUCAGGCAGCGAAUUCUUUCUCAGUCAACACAGUCUGUGUGUAAUGUCUCUGCAUGUGACCCGAUCGAGCCAACACAAACUUUCUCUCCUGGCAAACGAAGAGAGAACGUGCUCGGUUCGUCAAAGCUGGACAAACAGGGUCCAGAGACGAGCUUCUGAGGAGGCCGAGACCCGCUGCGAAGACCAACAGUAGUCUCUGGCGUUUCCUUUUCUGUCCUGGCUGCGGUCUUAUUAUUCCGUCUCUGUUUGGACUCAGUCUUUCUCACAGUAUCAUCUGUAGUCCCCGUCUUUGAAAGUUACACCGCCAGACAUCAAGCCUAUAUGCGGCAGGUUCAGAUUAAUACAUCAACACUGUGGUAUGACCUUUUCAUUCUGUCAUUCAUUCAGAAGAAUUGUAUUGCUCACUUUCAGAGAAGACCCUGGAGAGACUGGUCCUUGGUCACCUGAGACCUCAGAGAGCCCUCUCUCACCUGGACACGGCUGGGGCCACUAUGAGGAUCAUGUUUUUUGAUUUCUCCAGUGCCUUCAACACCAUUCAGCCGUUGCUUCUGAGGGAAAAGUUGGAGCCCCAAAAAAAUCCAGUCGGACCCAAAGCAAGUCGGACUUUGAGGCUAGUCAGAGUGUAAGGCUAAGUCUAACCAGCUGGAUCGAUUUGAAUUCAUAUUCUUUGGACUGGAAGGCUCGUCUCAUCGUCCUCUGUUCUUGCAGACAGCCCACUGAGUUGGUAAUCUACAUUACACCAGAACCCUUUAAAGAAACUGUUCAUUAUGAAGACUGUAGAGCUCACAGGAAGAGGACAACUGUGGUUAACAAUAAACUAAUCAAAACAAA